rnacentral:rRNA from 1 species
UGGGGAAUCUUGCACAAUGGGGGAAACCCUGAUGCAGCGACGCCGCGUGAGCGAUGAAGGUUUUCGAAUCGUAAAGCUCUGUCCUAUGGGAAGAUAAUGACGGUACCAUGGGAGGAAGCCCCGGCUAACUACGUGCCAGCAGCCGCGGUAAUACGUAGGGGGCGAGCGUGGUCCGGAAUUACUGGGCGUAAAGGGUUCGCAGGCGGCAUGGCAAGUCCGAUGUAAAAGGCGAAGGCUCAACCUUCGUAAGCAUCGGAAACUGUCAAGCUUGAGUGAAGGAGAGGCAAGUGGAAUUCCGAGUGUCGCGGUGGAAUGCGUAGAUAUUAGGAGGAAUACCGGUGGCGAAUGCGACUUGCUGGACUUCAACUGACGCUGAGGAACGAAAGCGUGGGUAGCAAACAGG